AGCAGCCGCGGUAAUUCCAGCUCCAAUAGCGUAUAUUAAAGUUGUUGCAGUUAAAAAGCUCGUAGUUGAAUUUCGGGAUCAAAGGAUCGGUCAUGCCUUGGUAUGUACUGGUUUUAUUGGUUCUCACCUUCUAAAGAACCAUAAUGUCAUUCAUUUGAUGUUAUGGGGAAUUAGGACUGUUACCUUGAAAAAAUUAGAGUGUUUAAAGCAGGCUUACGCUUGAAUACAUUAGCAUGGAAUAAUGAAAUAGGACAUCAGAUUCUAUUUUGUUGGUUCUAGGAUCGAUGUAAUGAUUAAUAGGGAUAGUUGGGGGCAUUAGUAUUCAAUUGUCAGAGGUGAAAAUUCUUGGAUUUAUUGAAGACUAACUACUGCGAAAGCAUUUGCCAAGGAUGUUUUCAUUAAUCAAGAACGAAAGUUAGGGGAUCGAAGACGAUCAGAUACCGUCGUAGUCUUAACCAUAAACUAUGCCGACUAGGGAUCGGAUGAUGUUAAUUUAUAAUGACUCAUUCGG
rnacentral:misc_RNA from 1 species